UUUAAUUCCUAGUGUUGAGACACCGAUUCACAGAGCAGGAACUUCAUUACUAACUGAUCUGCAACAAUGAAGUGAUAACUUCCUGAAGAAGAUGGAAAAUGGAGAGAGCAUCCGUUACACUGCGACCAGAGACACGACGUGCCUUUCUUUCCUCAUGAGCAUGCUUUUGAAGAACUCCUACCCCGUCCUCCUCACAGUUAUCCAUUGAUGGACAUCUGGAUGAAUUCCAUAUUUUAACCAUUAUGAAUUAAACCACAAUAAACACAG